rnacentral:misc_RNA from 1 species
GGGCGGUAUGAAGUGUUGGGGAGGGGGGCAUAGAAUAGUAAGGUCGCCAUCUUAAAGCAAUUCGCGAUAGCCUUUCGUCGCCGGUGCGAAGCCGAGCCGUUGUCGUCGUCGUUCUUGUCGUGAUUGUGUGUCGUUUUCGUCGUUUUUGUCGUCGGGUUAAAAGCUGAGCCGUAUUAGCCUGGCGAGCGUGUUAAACGCGAGCGCGAGCUCGUACGGCUCCGGUAGGUGAUCAAAAACGAGAUCGAUAAAGAGUUGAAAGAGGAAAUUUAGUGGCAGUGCGCUGCGAGAAUGAUACAUGCUGUUUGAGAGAGAGUAACCACAGAAGGAAAGGACGAACCUCACACUUGCUGACAAAUCCAUUCGGUUUUGAAGAAUCAUCGACGUAGGGGAAGAAGACAGACAGGAAGGAAGGAAAGCAAAGGUAAAAAGAAAGAAAGAAAGUGACAGGAAGGACGACAGUAUGGCGGGACAAACGAUAAACGAUAGACUACUGGCUGCCAGACACAGCAUCGCUGGCCAAGGGCUCGCCAAAUCCGUCUGCAAAGCUACCACUGAGGAGAUGAUAGGACCAAAGAAAAAGCAUCUUGAUUAUCUCAUUCACUGUACAAAUGAGCCAAACGUGUCGAUACCACAACUCGCUAAUCUUUUGAUAGAACGAUCGCAAAACACGAACUGGACGGUCGUUUUUAAAGCACUCAUAACGGUACACCAUAUGCUUUGCUAUGGCAACGAGAGGUUUACACAAUAUCUGGCAUCGAGCAACAGCACUUUUCAGCUCAGCAAUUUCCUCGAUAAAAGCGGAGUACAAGCAGGAGCUCGCGUCGGUUACGAUAUGUCACCUUUUAUCAGACGAUAUGCCAAAUACUUGAACGAGAAGGCUCUUUCAUACAGGACGGUGGCAUUUGAUUUUUGUAAAGUUAAAAGAGGAAAAGAAGAUGGCACAUUACGUACCAUAAACGCAGAAAAAUUACUAAAAACAUUGCCAGUUCUACAAGCGCAAUUAGACGCCCUUUUGGAAUUUGAUUGUACAGCAAACGAUCUUACCAAUGGAGUUAUUAACAACGCAUUUAUGCUUCUAUUCCGAGAUCUCAUACGUUUGUUUGCCUGUUACAAUGAUGGGAUUAUUAAUCUUUUAGAGAAAUAUUUCGACAUGAACAAAAAACAAUGUCGAGAUGCUUUGGAACUGUAUAAAAAGUUCCUCAUAAGAAUGGACAGAGUCGGCGACUUUUUAAAAGUAGCAGAGGAUGUUGGUAUCGACAAAGGUGAUAUUCCGGAUUUAACAAAGGCACCAAGUAGUUUGUUAGAUGCAUUAGAACAGCAUCUUGCGUCAUUAGAAGGGAAAAAGGGUUCCGCUGCAAAUACGCCAACGCAAUCAGCAAGCAAUAGAACGAAUAUAAAGUCGGGAGUGUCCGCCCUGUCUUCCACCAGUACCGCAUUUGGAACGGCAGCUAGUAACGCACGGCUUGAUCAUACUGGAAAUGGACACAUCGAUGAAGCAUUAAGGCAACAAGCUCUUGCGGAAGAGGAAGCAGCUAUGAAUCAAUACAAGGCUAAAGUACAGUCGCCCUCGGGUGGUCCAAGUACAAACCCUUUUUUGAGUUCUCCUACCAACAAUGCCCAUCAGCCAAUAGUUGAUUUAUUCGGUUCAGCACCAUCAGCUGAUAAUCAGCCUCAAAAAGCGUCCGACGAUUUGCUACAACUGGCAGGAAAUCCUUUUGCAGAUAUGUUUGGUGCACCCCAACAAGUCCAACAAACACAGCCUGCACAAGUACAAAAUAAUAUGUGGAUGACCAACGGUAAUGGUUUUGCAGCGACACCAGCAAAUAAUAACUUUGUUACAGAUAAUAGCUUUUCCUCCGUAUUUGGAAAUCAGGAUCAACAGUCAACUGGUGCCCCAGGAAUUACCACCGGAUCCGUACCUAAUCCUUUCAUGUCCGACUUCCCAACCGCCGCUUCCCAAGCUAGCAAUGCAGCCGCUGCUCUAGGGCUGUUCGAUCAAAGCAGCAGCGGCGUUACUGCCGGCGGUAACGUUGCCGAAGCUCAAGUAGCAGCAGCAGCAACAGCAGCAGCAGCAGCGGCGGCAUCACAAAGCGGCGGAGACCUCUUCAGUGCCGGCGGUCAGGCAGAUCUCUUUGGGGGCGACUCUGCAAUGCUCAAGGCCGCAGAUGGGAGCUCUGGGGACGUCGCGUCCGACGGUGCACAAGCACCGUCGGCCGUUGCGCCCUCGACUGCUCUUACCUCUGGCAAGUCCACUGCCACGCCGCCUCCCAGACCACCGCCUCCCGCGACAGCAGCUUCCAAUGGUACACCACGUGCAUUGUCUCCAGCUGUUAGCGGAGCAUCACCUGGUAGGCCAGCCUCGGGGCCUGCUUCGACUGCCGGCAGUGCAGCCCCGAGCAAGAGUGCAUUUGAUGAUCUAAAUGACAGUAUUCGCAUGGCACUGGGUGGCUCUCCGUCGCGACCGGCACCCCUUGCUCAGCACGCUCCUCCCACGCAACAACAACAGCAACAACAACAACAACAACAACAGCAACAACAACUGCCAUCGCAACAACCCGUUCAACAGGGCUUCGCCAUGUUCGACAUGGGAAGUAAUGUCGGGGCGGCCACUAGCCACAUCAUGAUGGCUGGUGGCCAAAUGGCUUCUUACGGAGUUCCUUCGUCGUCUUCUCAAGUACCCCCUGUCGGCUUUGGUUCUCCGGCUAAGCAGCCAAUGUCAGCAGGUGGACAGCCGGCAAAUGCAACAGCAGUCAGUGGUAAAGUCCUAACUGGAGAUCUAGAUAGUAGCCUUGCCAGUUUAGCACAGAAUUUGACGAUUAAUAAAAGUACUCAGCCACAAGUUAAGGGAAUGCAAUGGAAUUCUCCUAAAAAUACGGCUAAAACUGGAGGUCCCGCUGGAUGGACACCACAACCGAUGGCAGCAACCACAGGGGCUGGAUAUCGUCCUAUGGGUCAAGGAAUGACGCAACUUCCUCCUGCAACCACGUUGGCCUUUUCCCCACAGACAACUCCAAUGGGUAUGCAAGGUAUGCCAAUGGGCAUGCAAGGUAUGCAAAGUAUGAGGCCGAUGAUGGGUGCAAUGCCAGGGCCUACUACUGGAGGUGGUGGUAUGAUAGUUGCGGGUGGAGCUGCACCAAUGAUGAUGCCUAAUGCAAAUCCUAUGAUGGGUGCUAAUCUUCAACAGCAACAGCAGCAACAGCAGCAACAGCAACAGCAGCAGCAGCAUCCACAACCUGCUGCUCAGCCACAAGGCAAUGCUGUUCAACUAGAUCCUUUUGGUGCUCUAUGAAGAGACUAGGAUUUCAAAUGGAAUGAUAAAAAGGAAGAUUUUGUAAAUACUGUGUAAUAUGCUUAGAAAAUAUGCCCUUUUGAUUGAUAUCGAUCUAGGUUCGAAAUGUUCUAACCGUUGUUGAUAUCGACCUUUGAACUUCGUUAAAAAGCAGACGCUGUUCGUCUCUCUCACUGUGAAUAUGGUCAAUACUUCUAUCAUUAUUAUUCUCGCGCGAUCAUUCGAUCUUGAGGAUCUGCUACUUGUAUGUUACAAUUUGCCUUUUGAAAUAUUGUGUUGUUUAUUAAAUGUCAUUUCAAAUUGUAAAUCAAGAUGUGCUGUGUUCUCAAGAUGAUAAUAAUAAUAAUCGAGAAUCUUUGUUAUUAUAUAACAAAUUACCGUUUAGAAUCGCACAAACGUGCAUACGUAUAUGUGCUGAUGUUGCUACUAUUCCUACACUUGGAUUUGCUGUUUUUACAUAUUUAUGCAAUUGUCGAAAGAACAAGGAUAACAAUAGCUCUGCGAGUGUGUAUUUCGAAAAAGCUUUGUAAUAAUUUAUUAUAAUCGUGCUAAAUGAAAAGACUCGGAUAGAAAGGUAUGAAUUAUAGUUAAGUAAAUUCAGGUGGAGCUUAGUGUGAUUCUAAACGUUUAGGAUGAUUAGAUUAGGUAUAUACAAUUAGCUGUUUGCGUGUAUAUCGGUAUCUAUUUUACGAUAAAUCAUAAAAAAAGAAUUAGGAAAAAAGCAUGUAAAAUUCUCGUUACAAAAGAGAUAUUUAAAUAGUAGUUUACAUUGGGCAUCGAUCUAGCGUAUUUGUAUUUAUCAUAUAUUAUAUAUAUUAUUCCUUUUUUUAAAUUGUCUUAUUUUUUUUAGAAAUCAUUGGUUUUGGUCCAAGUGGAGAAGUUCACAGUUAUCCUAUGUUGAAGUAUUAAAUAAUAUAAUAAUAACGAUUAAUGUGUGAACUAAAAAAUAUUAUAAUUAAUUUAGAAAUAAUGAUAAUAAUUACGUUAUUUUGAGAUAUCAGGUGACGCAAAUAUGCAUAUAUAUACGUAUGUGCAUGGGUAGGAAAAAAAAUAGUAAUAAUUAAACAAAAACUAUUAUAUGUAUAUAUGCGUAUAGGAAAACCAUAAUUCCAUGGAGUUUUCGAGACAAUUAAUGAUGAGAACGAAGAAACGAAUAUAUAUUGGGAUAUUUAAGAAGACAUAAAGAAUGAAAGUAAAAAUAAGGUUAUACAUACGAUGCUCGUAAACAAAAAUUAUAGAUGUACCCAGAAUCAGCGAUGAUUUAGUAUUAUAUACUAUUAUAUAUAUAUAUAAUACAUGCAUAUAAAGAUAUAUCUAAAUAUAUAAAUAGUAGAUAAAAAUACUGUUACAAAAGGUCUAAUUAAUAAUUUGCUCCGCGUACGCAGUUGACUGUGUAGAGAUGAAUAUUUAAAUUAAUAAUAAGUGUAUGUUGAUUGGAAAUACAUCAAAAUAUUUUUCAUAAUUUUGUUAAUAUCAUUAAUUCCUUAAUAAUUAAUUUAAAUUAUUAUUCGAAUGUAUUGGUCAAAAUUCAGACAUUAAAUUGCAUACGCCGAGUAAAUGUUCUAUAUAUUAUGUAAAAAGAAGUUGCCGUGUACAGUGAUAGAGAGUAAUAAGAAAAGUAAUAGUGUUUUUUUGAGAGACGAAGAUUGAAGCAGCGUACACACUAAAGUACUAGUCUAUCUUUAUGCAAAAGAUUUCUCAAAAACAGUACAAUGGUUAUUGCAACUUUGGAAGAAGACCAAAAUUAUUUGUCAACAGAUAAUGAUUAUUAUUAUUAUUGUUAUUAUUAUGAUAAUAAAAUGUUUAGCUGAUAGAUACAUGGCAGGUUCUGGCUUGGCUUAUUACUGAAUUUAUUAGAAAUUUUCAUUCAAAUAAAGCAAGAAAGAAAAUGAAUGAAAAGAAGCAAAAAA